CGAUUGUAUAGACUAGAUGUAUAGUCUAGAGAGUACAGAGCUCAGAGUCAGUUCAAAUAAAAUAUUUAACUAAAAUGCUCCUCAAUUUCUCAAUUCUUCCCGGACAAGCAUUAUCCAGUUGAAUCGGACCCUAAUCCGAAUCAGCAUCAAUAGAACCCAUAAAUUGGUUUCUCAUGGAGUCUUUUCGUAAAGAGUCGGGAAAAGACACUUAUUUGCAGACAACGAGAAACGGUCAACAGUUAUUUGCGAGCUCUGAUUUUGAUUCAUUCUAAAUAUAAGUUGAGCUUGAUCAGAAAGAGCUAUUCUUCGAGCUAUUCAGAUGCUUACCAAGCCUGUGCCGUCGCGCUUUUAAUUCUAACCCAAGCCUCAUCAGAGCUCUGGGAGAAUGGUCAGCUUUUAAGUCGCGUAUAAGUUUGCGUAAAAUUUUCUGAACUCCAGGUGAUAGAUUUGGCAUUGUUCUUAACAUGAAUUGGCAAGCAUCGAAAAUUGCAUCAAACACACCUGCCCUUUUACAAGAGUAAAUAGCGUCUUCAACUUUUUCUAUGUUGUGUAUUAUGUCCAUUGUAUUAGUUUAGGUAUUAGGUUUUUAUUUUAGAAUAAUUAUUUUCAACGCAAAAAAUUUAAAAACUAUAAUAAUUUCUAUGAAUGUCAAUGAAUGUGAAUGUUUUUCUAGAAUAAACAAUCGUCUAUAUAACCUUA